rnacentral:rRNA from 1 species
AUUGAACGCUGGCGGCAGGCCUAACACAUGCAAGUCGAACGAGUGGCGGACGGGUGAGUAAUGUCUGGGAAACUGCCUGAUGGAGGGGGAUAACUACUGGACACGGUAGCUAAUACCGCAUACCAUCGGAUGUGCCCAGAUGGGAUUCGCGAGUAGGUGGGGUAAAGGCUGACCAAGGCGACGAUGCCUAGCUGGUCUGAGAGGAUGACCAGCCACACUGGAAAUGAGACACGGUACAGACUCCUACGUGAGGCAGCAGUGGGGAAUAUUGCACAAGGGGCGAAAGCCUGAGGCAGCCAUGCCGCGUGUAUGAAGAAGGCCUUCGGGUUGUAAAGUACUUUCAGCGGGGAGGCGUUACCCACAGAAGAAGCACCGGCUAACUCCGUGCCAGCAGCCGCGGUAAUAC